UUCAUUCAUUUACUUUUGUCCAUCUCUUCUCCACUUUCUCAAUCUAGAAAUUUUCUCUUUGACCACAAACCCUAGAGAAAGAUGAACAACGCGAAUCGCAUUUGAAGUGGAAGUGACGAUGGUAGAACCCGGCAAAAUACUGUCGGAGCACAAGAUAGACAUGGCGGCAGCGGCGUUUUACAACAUGUUGCGAGAGAGUAAGUCAAUGUUUCAGGAAAUCAUGGCCAAGAUGCUUGGUAUCAAGAAAGAAGCCCACUCGUCACUCAAAUUCUCGUUAAUUUCAUAACCCUCCAAAAGGUGUUUCCCUAUAUAUGUGCUUGCGUGGGUGUUUAGAUAGUAUAUUAAGUAUCUUUAGCGUUGGUCGGGAUUUUUUUAUUUUUUAUUUUUGGUGGCAUGUUGAAUAUAAAUGUAAAUGAUUUUCGAUUAAAUGUAGCAUCAACUUUGGGGUUUCUCUGAGAAUUUUGAAGAAAUAGUUUUUAAUUAUGAGUAGAACCUAGGGAUUUUAUUUUUUUUCUUGCUCUAUUUCCAAAUGUAAUUAAUUUUGGCCUGCACAACAAUGGAGAUUUUAAUAAUGACAGGG
rnacentral:lncRNA from 1 species